UACAGAGGUCCCAAGCGUUGUUCGGAUUCAUUGGGCGUAAAGGGCUCGUAGGCGGUCUGUUGCGUCGGGAGUGAAAACUCAGGGCUUAACCCUGAGCCUGCUUCCGAUACGGGCAGACUAGGGGUAUGCAGGGGAGAACGGAAUUCCUGGUGUAGCGGUGAAAUGCGCAGAUAUCAGGAGGAACACCGGUGGCGAAGGCGGUUCUCUGGGCAUUACCUGACGCUGAGGAGCGAAAGUGUGGGGAGCGAACAGG
rnacentral:rRNA from 1 species